UGGGGAAUAUUGGACAAUGGGGGCAACCCUGAUCCAGCAAUGCCGCGUGUGUGAAGAAGGCCUUAGGGUUGUAAAGCACUUUAGGCUGGGAGGAAGACGUGUAGUUUAAGAGAUGAUACGUUUGACUGUACCGGCAGAAUAAGCACCGGCUAACUCUGUGCCAGCAGCCGCGGUAAUACAGAGGGUGCGAGCGUUAAUCGGAGUUACUGGGCGUAAAGGGCGCGUAGGCGGUUGUUUAAGUGAGAUGUGAAAUCCCUGGGCUUAACCUAGGAACUGCAUCUCAUACUGGGCAGCUAGAGUAUUGUAGAGGGUAGUGGAAUUUCCGGUGUAGCGGUGAAAUGCGUAGAGAUCGGAAGGAACACCAGUGGCGAAGGCGGGUUGCUGGGCUGACACUGACGCUGAGGCGCGAAAGCUAGGGGAGCGAACGG
rnacentral:rRNA from 1 species